GAUUUCUGACUUGGUGCGCGCUGUCCGUUGCGGUUACGUGACGUGUGCAGUAGCGCGCCUGUCAUACUUCUGGAUUUUGAUGUUGCCCUUCACUGGGUGAUGUCGCUAUCUAGAUCUUUUACUUUGAAAAAAUUAGAGUGUUUAAAGCAGGCUCGCGCUAUGAAUACAUUAGCAUGGAAUAAUAAUUUAGGACUUUGGUCUUAUUUUGUUGGUUUCUAGGACUAAAGUAAUGAUUGAUAGGGACAGUUGGGGGUGCUAGUAUUCAGCGGCCAGAGGUGAAAUUCUUGGAUUCGCUGAAGACUAACUUAUGCGAAAGCAUU
rnacentral:rRNA from 1 species